UGAUCCUGGCUCAGGAUUAACGCUGGCGGCGUGCCUAACACAUGCAAGUCGAGCGAGAAAUCGGAAGUGAAACUUCGGUGAAGCAGAAGAUGGAAAGCGGCAGACGGGUGAGUAACGCGUGAAUAAUCAACCCUGUACAAAGGGAUAGCCUCGGGAAACCGGGAUUAAUACCAUAUGAAGUAUAUUAAUCGCAUGAUAGAUAUAUUAAAACUUUGGUGGCACAGGACGAGUUCGCGUCCCAUUAGCUAGUUGGUGAGAUAAAAGCUUACCAAGGCGACGAUGGGUAGCCGGCCUGAGAGGGUGAACGGCCACACUGGAACUGAGACACGGUCCAGACUCCUACGGGAGGCAGCAGUGGGGAAUAUUGCACAAUGGAGGAAACUCUGAUGCAGCGACGCCGCGUGAGCGAAGAAGGCUUUCGAGUCGUAAAGCUCUGUCCUAAGAGAAGAAGAAGUGACGGUAACUCAGGAGGAAGCCCCGGCUAACUACGUGCCAGCAGCCGCGGUAAUACGUAGGGGGCUAGCGUUGUCCGGAAUUACUGGGCGUAAAGGGUGAGUAGGUGGUCAUUAAAGUCAGAUGUAAAAGGCAAUGGCUCAACCAUUGUAAGCAUUUGAAACUUAAUGACUUGAGUGCAGGAGAGGUAAAUGGAAUUCCUAGUGUAGCGGUGAAAUGCGUAGAUAUUAGGAAGAACACCAGUGGCGAAGGCGAUUUACUGGACUGUAACUGACACUGAGUCACGAAAGCGUGGGGAGCGAACAGGAUUAGAUACCCUGGUAGUCCACGCUGUAAACGAUGAGUGCUAGGCGUCGGCAAGAGAUUGUCGGUGCCGCAGUUAACGCAUUAAGCACUCCGCCUGGGGAGUACGAUCGCAAGAUUGAAACUCAAAGGAAUUGACGGGGACCCGCACAAGCAGCGGAGCAUGUGGUUUAAUUCGAAGCAACGCGAAGAACCUUACCAAGACUUGACAUCCUCUUGACAGGUGUAGAAGUACACCCUCUCUUCGGAGCAAGAGUGACAGGUGGUGCAUGGUUGUCGUCAGCUCGUGUCGUGAGAUGUUGGGUUAAGUCCCGCAACGAGCGCAACCCUUAUCAUUAGUUGCCAUCAUUAAGUUGGGAACUCUAAUGAGACUGCCGGUGAUAAACCGGAGGAAGGUGGGGAUGACGUCAAAUCAUCAUGCCCCUUAUGCCUUGGGCUACACACGUGCUACAAUGGUCGGUACAACGGGAAGCUAAGGAGUGAUCUGGAGCUAUCCCCAAUAAGCCGAUCCCAGUUCGGAUUGCAGGCUGCAACUCGCCUGCAUGAAGUUGGAGUUGCUAGUAAUCGCGAAUCAGAAUGUCGCGGUGAAUGCGUUCCCGGGUCUUGUACACACCGCCCGUCACACCACGGGAGUUGGUAAUACCCGAAGCCGUCGAGCUAACGUAAGAGGCAGACGUCGAAGGUAGGACUAAUGACUGGGGUGAAGUCGUAACAAGGUA
rnacentral:rRNA from 1 species